rnacentral:rRNA from 1 species
AACAAUAUUCAACGAUGGAUAUCUUGGUUCCCAUAUCGAUGAAGAACGCAGCGAAAUGCGAUACGCAAUGCGAAUUGCAAAACUCCACGAGUCAUCAGAUCUUUGAACGCAAUUGGCACAGGUUCACCGCCUGUAAUUAUGUUUCAUUGU